rnacentral:rRNA from 1 species
GACGAACGCUGGCGGCGUGCUUAACACAUGCAAGUCGAACGGAAAGGCCCUGCUUUUGUGGGGUGCUCGAGUGGCGAACGGGUGAGUAACACGUGAGUAACCUGCCCUUGACUUUGGGAUAACUUCAGGAAACUGGGGCUAAUACCGGAUAGGAGCUCCUGCUGCAUGGUGGGGGUUGGAAAGUUUCGGCGGUUGGGGAUGGACUCGCGGCUUAUCAGCUUGUUGGUGGGGUAGUGGCUUACCAAGGCUUUGACGGGUAGCCGGCCUGAGAGGGUGACCGGCCACAUUGGGACUGAGAUACGGCCCAGACUCCUACGGGAGGCAGCAGUGGGGAAUAUUGCACAAUGGGCGGAAGCCUGAUGCAGCAACGCCGCGUGCGGGAUGACGGCCUUCGGGUUGUAAACCGCUUUCGCCUGUGACGAAGCGUGAGUGACGGUAAUGGGUAAAGAAGCACCGGCUAACUACGUGCCAGCAGCCGCGGUGAUACGUAGGGUGCGAGCGUUGUCCGGAUUUAUUGGGCGUAAAGGGCUCGUAGGUGGUUGAUCGCGUCGGAAGUGUAAUCUUGGGGCUUAACCCUGAGCGUGCUUUCGAUACGGGUUGACUUGAGGAAGGUAGGGGAGAAUGGAAUUCCUGGUGGAGCGGUGGAAUGCGCAGAUAUCAGGAGGAACACCAGUGGCGAAGGCGGUUCUCUGGGCCUUUCCUGACGCUGAGGAGCGAAAGCGUGGGGAGCGAACAGGCUUAGAUACCCUGGUAGUCCACGCUGUAAACGGUGGGUACUAGGUGUGGGGUCCAUUCCACGGGUUCCGUGCCGUAGCUAACGCUUUAAGUACCCCGCCUGGGGAGUACGGCCGCAAGGCUAAAACUCAAAGGAAUUGACGGGGCCCCGCACAAGCGGCGGAGCAUGCGGAUUAAUUCGAUGCAACGCGUAAAACCUUACCUGGGUUUGACAUGGAUCGGGAGCGCUCAGAGAUGGGUGUGCCUCUUUUGGGGUCGGUUCACAGGUGGUGCAUGGCUGUCGUCAGCUCGUGUCGUGAGAUGUUGGGUUAAGUCCCGCAACGAGCGCAACCCUUGUUCACUGUUGCCAGCACGUUAUGGUGGGGACUCAGUGGAGACCGCCGGGGUCAACUCGGAGGAAGGUGGGGAUGACGUCAAGUCAUCAUGCCCCUUAUGUCCAGGGCUUCACGCAUGCUACAAUGGCUGGUACAGAGAGUGGCGAGCCUGUGAGGGUGAGCGAAUCUCGGAAAGCCGGUCUCAGUUCGGAUUGGGGUCUGCAACUCGACCUCAUGAAGUCGGAGUCGCUAGUAAUCGCAGAUCAGCAACGCUGCGGUGAAUACGUUCCCGGG